rnacentral:rRNA from 1 species
GGCUCAGGAUGAACGCUGGCGGCGUGCCUAACACAUGCAAGUCGAGCGAGAAAGGGCGCUUCGGCGCCUGAGUACAGCGGCGCACGGGUGCGUAACACGUGGGCAAUCUGUCCUUGAGAUGGGGAUAACCCAGCGAAAGUUGGGCUAAUACCGAAUAAGACUACAGGAGGCAACUCCCGUGGUUAAAGGGUGCUCUCUGCGGGGAGCAUGCACUUGAGGAGGAGCCCGCGGCCUAUCAGCUAGUUGGUAGGGUCACGGCCUACCAAGGCGAAGACGGGUAGCUGGUCUGAGAGGAUGACCAGCCACACGGGGACUGAGACACGGCCCCGACUCCUACGGGAGGCAGCAGUGGGGAAUAUUGGGCAAUGGGGGAAACCCUGACCCAGCGACGCCGCGUGGGUGAUGAAGGCCUUCGGGUCGUAAAGCCCUGUCGGGCGGAACGAAGGCUCUCACGGCAAAUAGCCGUGAGAGGUGACGGUACCGCCGAAGGAAGCACCGGCCAACUCCGUGCCAGCAGCCGCGGUAAGACGGAGGGUGCAAGCGUUGCUCGGAAUCACUGGGCGUAAAGGGUGCGUAGGCGGUCUCGCAAGUCUGGCGUGAAAGCCCAAGGCUCAGCCUUGGAAGUGCGCUCGAAACUGCGAGGCUGGAGUGCCGGAGGGGAGAGUGGAAUUCCCGGUGUAGCGGUGAAAUGCGUAGAGAUCGGGAGGAAUACCGGUGGCGAAAGCGACUCUCUGGACGGCAACUGACGCUGAGGCACGAAAGCGUGGGGAGCAAACAGGAUUAGAUACCCUGGUAGUCCACGCCGUAAACGAUGGACACUAGGUGUCGGGGGUAUCCACUCCCUCGGUGCCGCCGCUAACGCAGUAAGUGUCCCGCCUGGGAGGUACGGUCGCAAGAUAAAACUC